AGAGCGAACGCUGGCGGCAGGCUUAACACAUGCAAGUCGAGCGCCCCGCAAGGGGAGCGGCAGACGGGAGAGUAACACGUGGGAACGUACCUUUCGGUUCGGAACAACCCAGGGAAACUUGGGCUAAUACCGGAUACGCCCGUAAGGGGAAAGAUUUAUCGCCGGAAGAUCGGCCCGCGUCUGAUUAGCUAGUUGGUGAGGUAACGGCUCACCAAGGCGACGAUCAGUAGCUGGUCUGAGAGGAUGAUCAGCCUCACUGGGACUGAGACACGGCCCAGACUCCUACGGGAGGCAGCAGUGGGGAAUAUUGGACAAUGGGCGCAAGCCUGAUCCAGCCAUGCCGCGUGGGUGAUGAAGGCCCUAGGGUUGUAAAGCCCUUUCGGCGGGGAAGAUAAUGACGGUACCGCAGAAGAAGCCCGGCUAACUUCGCGCCAGCAGCCGC
rnacentral:rRNA from 1 species